rfam:Triticum aestivum genome assembly, contig: Triticum_aestivum_CS42_TGACv1_scaffold_129495_2BL
UAUGUACUCCCUCCGUCCGGAAAUAUUUGUCCUCAAAAUGGAUAAAAUGAAUGUAUCUAUAACUAAAAUAAGUCUAGAUACAACCAUUUCUAGGACAACUAUUUUCGGACGGAGGGAGUAGUAC